GGUUAAGCGACUAAGCGUACACGGUGGAUGCCCUGGCAGUCAGAGGCGAUGAAGGACGUGCUAAUCUGCGAAAAGCGUCGGUAAGGUGAUAUGAACUGUUACAG
rnacentral:rRNA from 1 species